UACAGAGGGUGCGAGCGUUGUCCGGAAUCACUGGGCGUAAAGGGCGCGUAGGCGGCCUGAUAAGUAGGGGGUGAAAUCCUGUGGCUUAACUGCAGGGCUGCCUCCUAGACUGUUAGGCUCGAGCACGGUAGAGGCAGAUGGAAUUCCCGGUGUAGCGGUGGAAUGCGUAGAGAUCGGGAAGAACAUCGGUGGCGAAGGCAGCCCCCUGGGUCAAGAUUGACGCUCAUGCACGAAAGGCGUGG
rnacentral:rRNA from 1 species